GUGCUUGCUUCAGCAGCACAUAUACUAAAAUGGAACAAUACAGAGAAGAUUAGCAUGGUCCCUGCCCAAGAAUGACAUACAAAUUCAUGAAGCUUUAAAUGACUAG